AUAGAGCUAUUAUACGAGAAACGGUCUCAUUUUGGCUUUCUGCAUCCCCUCCAUUUUCAGAGCUCAGUUUCCUCCUUCUCUGUUAUGGCGGCUGUAUCUCCAGCUUGUUCCACAAUGAUUCACUACCUAGAUCGCUCUCCUUCUCGUUCUCGUUCUUGUGCUUCGAACUCUUCUCUUCGUGUAUGCUUCUCAAGUACAAAACCUGCUUCUUUAACAUUCUCUAAACCCACCUCUGACCACUAUCAGCAUCCAAGGAAACUCACUGUCUCUGCUACAGCGGCUGAUAAUCGUAGCAACAUCUCUAACACUUCUUUGUCCGCUAAUGGCCCUGCUCCUUCUCUGCCCAUUUCAAAGGUGAGGAGGCAUACAAUCUCUGUGUUUGUGGGGGAUGAAAGUGGGAUGAUUAAUCGGAUUGCUGGGGUCUUUGCGAGGAGGGGGUAUAACAUUGAGUCCCUUGCUGUUGGUUUAAACAAGGACAAGGCACUCUUCACCAUAGUUGUCUCUGGAACUGACAGGGUGCUACAACAAGUUGUAGAGCAACUUCAGAAAUUAGUCAAUGUUUUGAAGGUGGAGGAUCUCUCAAGUGAGCCACAGGUAGAACGUGAGCUAAUGCUAAUAAAAGUGAAUGCAGAUCCUAAAUACCGUGCUGAGAUCAUGUGGUUGGUGGACAUUUUCAGAGCAAAAAUUGUGGAUAUCUCAGAGCACUCUUUAACAAUUGAGGUAACUGGAGAUCCAGGGAAGAUCGUUGCCGUCCAGAGAAACCUAAGCAAGUUUGGAAUCAAAGAAAUUGCAAGAACUGGAAAGAUUGCAUUGAGAAGGGAAAAAAUGGGUGAAUGUGCUCCCUUUUGGCGAUUUUCAGCUGCUUCAUAUCCUGAUCUUGGAGAAGCAAGGCUGGAUGAUGCUCUUUUGGGGACUAAAAGCAAAGCAGUCAUUGGUGAAGAUACAUCUGCAGGGGGGGACGUUUAUCCAGUGGAGCCAUCUGAUAGCUUUACAGUCACUCAAGUUCUUGAUGCUCAUUGGGGAGUUCUCAAUGAAGAUGAUACAACUGGACUUCGAUCUCACACUCUAUCCAUGCUGGUGAAUGACUCUCCUGGAGUUCUUAACGUAGUUACAGGAGUAUUUGCUCGAAGGGGUUAUAACAUUCAGAGUUUGGCUGUUGGCCAUGCAGAAACUGAGGGCCUCUCCCGAAUAACAACUGUCGUUCCUGGUACAGAUGAAUCAAUAAGCAAGUUGGUGCAGCAACUUUAUAAGCUAAUAGAACUUCAUGAGGUUAAGGAUCUUACUCACUUGCCAUUUGCUGAACGUGAAUUGAUGUUGAUAAAGAUUGCUGUGAAUGCUGCUGCUAGACGAGAUGUACUUGACAUCGCCAGCAUUUUUAGGGCAAGAGCAGUUGAUGUAUCUGACCACACAAUAACCCUUGAGCUUACAGGAGAUUUGGACAAGAUGGUUGCACUGCAGAGGUUGUUGGAACCUUAUGGCAUUUGUGAGGUGGCAAGAACAGGGCGAAUAGCACUGGUGCGAGAGUCAGGUGUGGAUUCCAAAUACCUCCGGGGCUAUUCUUUUCCUAUAUGAUGUGAUGAUGACAGGACUUGGUACGGCUUGUGUUGCACUGCUGAUGCAAUUUCUGAGAGGUUGCACAUACAAAAGACAAUGGCAAAGACAGACCAGAAGUUAGCUGGAGUUUGCAAACAUCUUUGUAAAAGAAUGUGUUUAUAGUAUUUUUUGUUUCAAACCAUUUGAAGAGCUGCAUCUAAAUCUGGCUCUUCCUUUUAGUUGAAAGCCUCAUCGAACCUUCACUUGUUCUUCA